rnacentral:misc_RNA from 1 species
CAUUAAAUCAUGCAAGAUCCAAAUAUGAAGUUCCCAUUACAACAUAUCAAUGCACCAAUGACAUCACCAUCACAAGUUCUAGGUAUUUACUAGAAAAAAAAAAAUCACACUUAAUAAAAAUGAGAAGGGCGCAAUUAGAAAAUUAUCGAACGGUCAUGAAAACAAAGCCUAUUUCUUUAACCGAACCACCAUAUGUAUUCGUCAAAACUGGGAAAUUUCCUCCGUCAAACAGAGGAUUACCAACUUGCAUUAACACAAUCCUAUGUAUAAAUUGCGGGGAACAAAAAAGGCAAAAUCCCAAAACAAGACAACAAACAAAGAUAAGGGAAAAAAAGAAAGAAAUAUGUACUAUUACUCUUUUUUCCCUCAGUCAAGAGUUGUUAG